UACGGAAGGUCCGGGCGUUGUCCGGAUUGACUGGGCGUAAAGGGUGCGUAGGCGGUUUGGUAAGUCAAAUGUGAAAGCCCGUGGCUCAACCACGGAACUGCAUUUGAUACUGCUAGACUUGAGUUCGGGAGAGGCAAGUGGAAUUCCUAGUGUAGCGGUGGAAUGCGUAGAUAUUAGGAGGAACACCAGUGGCGAAGGCGGCUUGCUGGAACGAUACUGACGCUGAGACACGAAAGCGUGGGGAGCAAAC
rnacentral:rRNA from 1 species